CUCCAACAUUCUUGGUGAAUGCAGAUCAGUUGGAAAUCAAAAUUGCACAAGGUGCCAAGCCUGGUGAAGGUGGCCAAUUGCCUGGGAAGAAAGUUAGUGCAUAUAUUGCAAGGUUGAGAAAUUCUAAACCAGGGGUUCCGCUUAUAUCUCCACCUCCACACCACGAUAUCUAUUCCAUUGAAGAUCUUGCCCAAUUGAUCUAUGACCUUCAUCAGGUCAACCCUAAGGCUAAGGUGUCUGUAAAGCUUGUGGCGGAAGCUGGUAUUGGUACAGUUGCUUCUGGGGUUGCAAAGGGUAAUGCUGAUAUUAUACAGAUAUCUGGGCAUGAUGGUGGAACAGGAGCUAGCCCUAUAAGCUCUAUUAAGCAUGCUGGUGGUCCUUGGGAACUUGGACUAACAGAAACUCAUCAGACUCUCAUUGAAAAUGGACUCAGAGAAAGGGUAAUUAUUAGGGUUGAUGGUGGCUUUAGAAGUGGAGUCGAUGUCAUGAUGGCCGCAGCAAUGGGUGCUGAUGAGUAUGGAUUUGGAUCUGUGGCAAUGAUUGCUACUGGAUGUGUUAUGGCUCGCAUUUGUCACACUAAUAAUUGUCCUGUUGGUGUUGCCAGUCAGAGAGAAGAACUGCGUGCACGUUUUCCUGGUGUGCCUGGAGAUCUUGUUAAUUACUUCUUGUACGUUGCUGAGGAGGUAAGAGGCACACUGGCACAAUUGGGUUACGAGAAGUUGGAUGAUGUUAUUGGGCGAACAGAUUUAUUGAGACCACGUGACAUUUCCCUAGUGAAAACUCAGCAUCUUGAUCUCAGUUAUAUUCUUUCAAGUGUUGGGUUACCAAAAUGGAGCAGCACUGAAAUCAGGAAUCAAGGUGCUCAUAGUAAUGGUCCAGUUUUGGAUGAUGUUCUACUUGCCGAUCCAGAGAUCUUGGACGCUAUUGAGAAUGAAAAAGUUGUCAAUAAAACUAUAAAGAUAUACAAUGUGGACCGUGCUGUUUGUGGGCGUGUAGCAGGUGUGGUUGCAAAGAAAUAUGGGGACACUGGUUUUGCUGGGCAGCUGAACAUAACGUUUACUGGGAGUGCAGGGCAGUCAUUUGCAUGCUUUUUGACACCUGGAAUGAACAUUCGGCUUGUUGGAGAGGCUAACGAUUAUGUGGGUGGGAAAGGGUAUGGCUGGGGGGGAGUUGGUUGUAACUCCUGUGGAGAACACUGGGUUUUGCCCUGAGGAUGCAACUAUAGUUGGGAACACAUGCUUAUAUGGGGCAACAGGUGGCCAAGUAUUUGUUAGAGGAAAAGCUGGGGAGCGGUUUGCUGUCAGAAACUCGCUUGCUCAAGCAGUAGUUGAAGGCACAGGAGACCAUUGCUGCGAGUAUAUGACUGGUGGUUGUGUGGUUGUUCUUGGAAAAGUGGGUAGAAAUGUAGCAGCUGGGAUGACUGGUGGCCUGGCAUACAUUCUUGAUGAAGAUGAUACUCUAAUGCCCAAGGUAAAUAAAGAAAUAGUGAAGGUCCAACGAGUGACUGCUCCCGUUGGCCAGAUGCAACUGAAGAGCCUUAUUGAAGCACAUGUUGAAAAAACUGGCAGCCGUAAAGGCGCUGCUAUUCUGAAGGAAUGGGAUACAUAUCUACCGCUAUUUCGGCAGUUGGUUCCACCUAGUGAAGAAGACACCCCAGAGGCUUGUGCAGAGUAUCAGGCAACUGUUGCUGGGCAAGUGACAUUCCAGUCUGCCUAGGAUAUCAAUGCAAGAUAUCCCCACGAACAGCUGUGAA
rnacentral:misc_RNA from 1 species